GAUGAAGAACGCAGCGAAAUGCGAUAAGUAAUGUGAAUUGCAGAAUUCAGUGAAUCAUCGAAUCUUUGAACGCACAUUGCGCCCGCCAGUAUUCUGGCGGGCAUGCCUGUUCGAGCGUCAUUUCAACCAUCAAGCCCCAGGCUUGUGUUGGGGACCUGCGGCUGCCGCAGGCCCUGAAAACCAGUGGCGGGCUCGCUGUCACACCGGGCGUAGUAGCGUACCUCUCGCUCCGGGCGUGGCGGCGGGCGCCGGCCGUGAAACCCCCUACAUCAAAAAGGUUGACCUCGGAUCAGGUAGGAAUACCCGCUGAACUUAAGCAUAUCAAUAAGCGGAGGA
rnacentral:misc_RNA from 1 species